rnacentral:lncRNA from 1 species
AGUCCCAGCCGUGCCCAUGGUGUCCCAGGAUCUCAUCGCUGCUGCUCUGAUCCUCACCUGCUUCCUCAGCUUCUGUAGCCUUACCUGCCCACAGCAGAAUCACAGGAGACUGUCCCCAGCAUCCUAAUCUAGCUGGCUCAGGAUUGACUCUUUGCUCUCAAUGGAUACGUUCCUCAUGAAGUCAUUUACAAGUCAAAACCACCAUUGUCUCCUCCAGUGCUGAAGAGAAGAUAACGCAAUGUCUGAGUUCCUGCUCCCAAGUCACCUGGAGAGUUCUCCCAAGUGUGUGAGAUCUGGAGGAAUGCAGUCCAAGUAACUCU